GACGUAGGGGGCAAGCGUUGUUCGGAAUUAUUGGGCGUAAAGCGCUCGUAGGCGGGAUUGGAAGUCCGUGUUGAAAGACCUCGGCUCAACUGAGGGACCGGCUCGGAUACUCUAAUUCUUGAGGCAAUCAGAGGAUGAUGGAAUUCCCGGUGUAGCGGUGAAAUGCGUAGAUAUCGGGAGGAGCACCAGUGGCGAAGGCGAUCAUCUGGGGUUGUUCUGACGCUGAGGAGCGAAAGCUAGGGGAGCAAACGGG
rnacentral:rRNA from 1 species